UGGGAAAAUGAAAGUUGGUUAU
rnacentral:miRNA from 1 species